rnacentral:lncRNA from 1 species
UGUGCAUGUGUCUCUAUUUCUAUUUAAAUAUACAGAUUUCUCUCACAAAUACUGCUUCCUAUAGUUUUCAUAAAGUAAUGUUAAGUAGUUCUCUACUGUUUUUGAUAAUCUGAUAUUAAUUUCUGUUUUUAACCCAAGUUGCAAGUCUGAAUGGCUAUAGGAGCCAGCCGGGCAAUGAAAGUGAGUGAAAUGGCCAAGGUGGAGGACCAUAAGGCAGAGGGGGGACUGGAGGUCAGACGCCCAGUAGAAAGGUAGCAGCUCCUUCUCUCCUUCUCAAGCCCUGGGAAAUUACUAGGUCCUCUGGAGCUGAAAAUUGAAAAUUGAGUAGCUGGUUAAAGAAGCAAAGUGGUGUCAGACCUCACAAGCAAGGUUUUUGGAUGCAUCACAACAUUUACAAGGAGAAGGAUGAACAUGUGGCUUACCUUUGUUACUCCAUAGUAAAACAGUGCCCUGCAUAAUGGUUUGCUUGUUUUACAAAAGAUUUAAAUGUAGUUGUGUUGGUACAAAAUCCACAUCAUGUUGCCUAUCCAUGAACAACAGAAUGUCCUUGACAAGUAUUUGCAUUUUCAGAUGAAAAACAAAAGCCUUUGUUGAGAUAAACUGGAAAUAAAUGUGGAAUACAUUGUACA